ACUCCUACGGGAGGCAGCAGUGGGGAAUUUUGGACAAUGGGGGCAACCCUGAUCCAGCAAUGCCGCGUGAGUGAAGAAGGCCUUCGGGUUGUAAAGCUCUUUUGUCAGGGAAGAAACGGUAGUAGCGAAUAACUAUUACUAAUGACGGUACCUGAAGAAUAAGCACCGGCUAACUACGUGCCAGCAGCCGCGGUAAUACGUAGGGUGCAAGCGUUAAUCGGAAUUACUGGGCGUAAAGCGUGCGCAGGCGGUUGUGUAAGUCAGAUGUGAAAUCCCCGGGCUCAACCUGGGAAUUGCAUUUGAGACUGCACGGCUAGAGUGUGUCAGAGGGGGGUAGAAUUCCACGUGUAGCAGUGAAAUGCGUAGAUAUGUGGAGGAAUACCGAUGGCGAAGGCAGCCCCCUGGGAUAACACUGACGCUCAUGCACGAAAGCGUGGGGAGCAAACAGGAUUAGAUACCCUAGUAGUCCCA
rnacentral:rRNA from 1 species